rnacentral:rRNA from 1 species
AGAAUUUGAUCUUGGUUCAGGACGAACGCUGGCGGCGUGCUUAACACAUGCAAGUUGAACGGUAUGACAUGGAAGCUUGCUGAAGUGUCAUAUAGUAGCGGACGGGUGAGUAAUGCAUGAGAAGCUGCCAUUGGAGGGGGACGAACAGUUGGAAACGGCUGCUAAUACCCCGUAUGCCGGAAGGUGAAAGGGAGCGAUCCGCCCGAUGAGGUGCUCAUGUCCUAUCAGCUGGUUGGUGGGGUAACGGCCUACCAAGGCGACGACGGGUAGCCGGCCUGAGAGGGUGAACGGCCACACUGGAACUGAGAUACGGUCCAGACUCCUACGGGAGGCAGCAGUGGGGAAUAUUGGGCAAAUGGGGGCAACCCUGACCCAGCGACGCCGCGUGGGGGAAGACGGCCUUCGGGUUGUAAACCUCUUUUGUACGGGAAGAAGGAAGUGACGGUACUGUACGAAUAAGUCCCGGCUAACUACGUGCCAGCCGCAGC